AACGAACGCUGGCGGCAGGCUUAACACAUGCAAGUCGAACGCACCUUUCGGGGUGAGUGGCAGACGGGUGAGUAACGCGUGGGAAUCUACCCUUCUCUACGGGAUAGCUCCGGGAAACUGGAAUUAAUACCGUAUACGUCCUGAGGGAGAAAGAUUUAUCGGGGAAGGAUGAGCCCGCGUUGGAUUAGCUAGUUGGUGGGGUAAAGGCCUACCAAGGCGACGAUCCAUAGCUGGUCUAAGAGGAUGAUCAGCCACAUUGGGACUGGGACACGGCCCAAACUCCUACGCGAGGCAGCAGUGGGGGAUAUUGGACAAUGGGCGCAAGCCUGAUCCAGCCAUGCCGCGUGAGUGAUGAAGGCCCUAGGGUUGUAAAGCUCUUUCAGUGGGGACGAUAAUGACGGUACCCACAGAAGAAGCCCCGGCUAACUUCGUG
rnacentral:rRNA from 1 species